AUUAUCCAACUUUGUAAUAAUUUAACUUGUCAAAACUCUCUCUCUUUGAAAUAUCAUUGUUCUUAGUGUUCUUGAGCUGUUCUUCAAUUGUUCAUCAUCUGUUCUUGAGUUUUAAUUUCGUUUUGCUUGUUUAAAUCCUUGUUUAUCUUUAUUCUCUGUUGUAUCCACUUGAAUAUGCUUCAAUCUAUUAUGAGAUUAAGUGUUUUCAUGGAGAUUAGUGAGUAGUUUCCUUAGAAUUCAUGGGUUAGGGAGAUUAGAGUAACUUAGUGAAGAUCUAUGGUGUUAUUGUAUUAGAUCCUUGUAUGAACUUGCUUGUUGAGUAUUUUUAAUGCUUGUUUAGUCUUGAUCACUCUAAACCUGAUUUCUAAACACUUCUCAUCAGACAUGAUUAGAUGAAGUGUUUGAAUCAACUCAACUAAGCUCUAGUGAGAUUAGCCAAGGACACUUGAUGUUAAAAUUGCUAGAUAGUUAUUAAACUUGAACUUAAAGAUUGCUUGAUUGAAUUAAGCCAAAGACAUUUGAUGUUUAAUGAUUUCUAAGCAAAUGGACAUUUACCUAGACAUAGGACCUGUCUAAAAUUGUGUUUAGACUUAAGAGAUUACUUUGAUUGAAAGCUUGUCACCUAGAUUGGAUCUUAGUUACUUGAAGUCAAUUCCCAAUACCCAUGGAUUCACUUGUCUAAAUUGAUUAAAACCUUGUUGUAUUGCUCUGUUUGCUAUUGUUACUUGUCACACACUCACAACUAUUGAAUCUGCUUAGCUUAAGAAAUGACUUGUAUUCUCACUGAUUCACAUCACUAGGACUGGUUCGACAUUCACCCCCCUAUACUACAACAUUUGCAAUAGGCAGAAAAACCUACUACCAAGAAUAAUAAUAUAUCUACAUCUAUACAAAGUAUCUGGUUAGCGUGAUAGACAUGUAUCAACUAAUAUGUGUUACGUAUUUACCAGUAUAACCAUAUUUCUUGCUAUAUUUGAACAUGUGAACUUAUUUCACGUUGGACUGGUUGAUUCUUGAACUCCAUCUGAUUCUUCAUGGUAGAUAAAGGACAAACAAACAUCUAGAUUUAGAUGUUGAUCCAUUUAUGUGUUCGUUUCUUCCAUAGAUUUUCCGCCUUGGACGGUCCUCUCAGGUGGUUGUUGGCCGGCUCUUCGUUUCUGGGAUUCAGGAAACAUCAAGAAGAAUGAAGAGUUUAUGGGUAUCACCCUCCUGCUUCUAUAUGCAAGAGUCUUAAGGAUACGCUCCCGUGCUAUAUUCCUUUUUAACGCAAACCACUUGGGUGGUGCCAUUACGGACGUUUCCACGUGUUGAGACAAUUGGAGAGAUUGAAAAGAAAGAACUUGCCUCAAUUGGAGAUCUUCACACAUACCUCUCCAAGUUAACCGAUAAGGGACCCUGCUUCUAUUGGUGUUUGGCUUUACCAGAGAAAAAUAGAUGAAUGGAAGUUCUUGAGAACUGGGAAGUGCAUUCUGGUCGCAUCACAAAGCUCUACACAUUACCACUAAAGGUUUCAAAGCAGUGAGAUACUUCAGGUGGAGGGUGGGUUUGGACGCAGCUUGGGAGUUGCAGUGACUAUGGUCUUUACACGGAUUUUGAGAAAAUGGCUGGAAUUCAGAAGAAAGAAGGUGUUGAUUGCAGAUCUUCACACCUACAUAUCCAAGGCCAGUGACCAUGUGUCCACAACUUUGUAUUCCUAUUACGGCCAAGCUAUUUAAUAAAACAUGUCCCUACUAAUAUUUCCUGUAAUCUCCUUUGUGAAGAACCACAAAGCUCACUUAAUGUGUUAAGCUUAGAUCGUACGUCUCCUAAAUAAUCAAACUCAAGAAAUAUUUAAGUUUGAAUCCACACAAUACACUCUUAGUGCUCUGUUUCUGUUUCUGAAACUCACCAAAAAGAUGCAGUUACACUA